CAGUAGCGUAUAUUAAAGUUGUUGCAGUUAAAAAGCUCGUAGUUGGAUUUCUGGUACGCUGCGCCUGCCCCGCCCACGUUAGUGGUGUGAGUGUCGGUGCGCGGUUGCCAUCCUUCUAGAGAACGUGUCUACCUUUAAUUAGGCCGGGCUACGGGAUCUAGAUCAUUUACUUUGAAAAAAUUAGAGUGUUAAAGCAGGCUUUUGCUAUGAAUACAUUAGCAUGGAAUAAUAAUAUAGGACUUUGGUUCUAUUUUGUUGGUUUCUAGAACUGAAGUAAUGAUUGAUAGGGAUAGUGGGGGUGCUAGUAUUCAGCGGCCAGAGGUGAAAUUCUUGGAUUCGCUGAAGACUAACUUAUGCGAAAGCAUUCACCAAGGAUGUCUUCUUUAAUCAAGAACGAAAGUUGGGGGAUCGAAGACGAUUAGAUACC
rnacentral:rRNA from 1 species